rnacentral:rRNA from 1 species
AUGAAUGUUGCUACUGGGGUGAAGGAGAACAUCCAGCUCAUGAGGGGGCUUCACGUGGUCGACGAUAUCCACUACCUUGAUUGUCGUGAGGCGCUCGUGUGGAAGUGCAAGAGGGACUACGAGGAAUCGAAUAAGUACAAGGAAUAG